rnacentral:rRNA from 1 species
AUUGAACGCUGGCGGCAGGCCUAACACAUGCAAGUCGAACGAGUGGCGGACGGGUGAGUAAUGUCUGGGAAACUGCCCGAUGGAGGGGGAUAACUACUGGAAACGGUAGCUAAUACCGCAUACCAUCGGAUGUGCCCAGAUGGGAUUAGCUUGUAGGUGAGGUAACGGCUAACGUAGGCGACGAUCCCUAGCUGGUCUGAGAGUAUGACGAGCGAAACUGGAACUGAGACACGGUCGAUACCCCUGCGGUACGCAGCAUUGGGGAAUAGUGCACAGGGGGCGCAGGCCUGAGUCAGUCAUGCCGGGUGUAUGAAGAAGGCCUUCGGUUUGGCAAGUAUGUUCAGCGGGGAGGCGUUACCCGCAGAAGAAGCACCGGCUCACGCCGUGCCAGCAGCGGCGGUAAUAC